rnacentral:rRNA from 1 species
GACGAACGCUGGCGGCGUGCUUAACACAUGCAAGUCGAACGGAAAGGCCCUUCGGGGUACUCGAGUGGCGAACGGGUGAGUAACACGUGGGUGAUCUGCCCUGCACUUUGGGAUAAGCCUGGGAAACUGGGUCUAAUACCGAAUAGGACCACGCGCUUCAUGGUGUGUGGUGGAAAGCUUUUGCGGUGUGGGAUGGGCCCGCGGCCUAUCAGCUUGUUGGUGGGGUAAUGGCCUACCAAGGCGACGACGGGUAGCCGGCCUGAGAGGGUGACCGGCCACACUGGGACUGAGAUACGGCCCAGACUCCUACGGGAGGCUGCAGUGGGGAAUAUUGCACAAUGGGCGCAAGCCUGAUGCAGCGACGCCGCGUGAGGGAUGACGGCCUUCGGGUUGUAAACCUCUUUCAAUAGGGACGAAGCGCAAGUGACGGUACCUAUAGAAGAAGCACCGGCCAACUACGUGCCAGCAGCCGCGGUAAUACGUAGGGUGCGAGCGUUGUCCGGAAUUACUGGGCGUAAAGAGCUCGUAGGUGGUUUGUCGCGUUGUUCGUGAAAACUCACAGCUUAACUGUGGGCGUGCGGGCGAUACGGGCAGACUAGAGUACUGCAGGGGAGACUGGAAUUCCUGGUGUAGCGGUGGAAUGCGCAGAUACCAGGAGGAACACCGGUGGCGAAGGCGGGUCUCUGGGCAGUAACUGACGCUGAGGAGCGAAAGCGUGGGGAGCGAACAGGAUUAGAUACCCUGGUAGUCCACGCCGUAAACGGUGGGUACUAGGUGUGGGUUCCUUCCUUGGGAUCCGUGCCGUAGCUAACGCAUUAAGUACCCCGCCUGGGGAGUACGGCCGCAAGGCUAAAACUCAAAGGAAUUGACGGGGGCCCGCACAAGCGGCGGAGCAUGUGGAUUAAUUCGAUGCAACGCGAAGAACCUUACCUGGGUUUGACAUGCACAGGACGCCGGCAGAGAUGUCGGUUCCCUUGUGGCCUGUGUGCAGGUGGUGCAUGGCUGUCGUCAGCUCGUGUCGUGAGAUGUUGGGUUAAGUCCCGCAACGAGCGCAACCCUUGUCCUAUGUUGCCAGCGGGUUAUGCCGGGGACUCGUAGGAGACUGCCGGGGUCAACUCGGAGGAAGGUGGGGAUGACGUCAAGUCAUCAUGCCCCUUAUGUCCAGGGCUUCACACAUGCUACAAUGGCCGGUACAAAGGGCUGCGAUGCCGUGAGGUGGAGCGAAUCCUUUCAAAGCCGGUCUCAGUUCGGAUCGGGGUCUGCAACUCGACCCCGUGAAGUCGGAGUCGCUAGUAAUCGCAGAUCAGCAACGCUGCGGUGAAUACGUUCCCGGGCCU